AAUGAACGUUGGCGGCGUGGAUUAGGCAUGCAAGUCGAGCGAGAACCCCGCAAGGGGGGACCGCGGCGAAAGGGACAGUAAUGUGUAGAUUAUCUGCCCUCAGGUCCGGGAUAGCUGCGGGAAACUGCAGGUAAUACCGGAUAACAUCUCCGGAUCAAAGGUGUGAUUCCGCCUGAGGAUGAGUCUGCAUCCUAUUAGCUAGUUGGUGGGGUAAUGGCCUACCAAGGCAUUGAUGGGUAGCAGGUGUGAGAGCACGACCUGCGUCAUUGGGACUGAGACACUGCCCAGACACCUACGGGUGGCUGCAGUCGAGAAUCUUCGGCAAUGGGCGCAAGCCUGACCGAGCGACGCCGCGUGUGGGAUGAAGGCCUUCGGGUUGUAAACCACUGCCAGAGGGGAUGAAAUGCAGGUGGGUUCUCCCAUCUGUUUGACAUAGCCUCAGAGGAAGGACGGGCUAAGUUCGUG
rnacentral:rRNA from 1 species